UUGAACGCUGGCGGCAUGCCUUACACAUGCAAGUCGAACGGUAACGCGGGGCAACCUGGCGACGAGUGGCGAACGGGUGAGUAACACAUCGGAACGUGCCCAGUAGUGGGGGAUAGCCCGGCGAAAGCCGGAUUAAUACCGCAUACGACCUAAGGGUGAAAGCAGGGGACCGCAAGGCCUUGCGCUAUUGGAGCGGCCGAUGUCAGAUUAGGUAGUUGGUGGGGUAAAAGCCUACCAAGCCGACGAUCUGUAGCUGGUCUGAGAGGACGACCAGCCACACUGGGACUGAGACACGGCCCAGACUCCUACGGGAGGCAGCAGUGGGGAAUUUUGGACAAUUGGCGCAAGCCUGAUCCAGCCAUGCCGCGUGCGGGAAGAAGGCCUUCGGGUUGUAAACCGCUUUUGUCAGGGAAGAAACGGUCUGGGUUAAUACCCUGGGCUAAUGACGGUACCUGAAGA
rnacentral:rRNA from 1 species